GCUCACUUACUACUCUGCUCCUUCCCAGGACUCCUGUCCUCCUGUCCUUUGGGGUAACCCUACAACUAAUCUCCAGGUCUGUUUCAGGAGCAGAAAUAUAUUCUAGCCAAGCCUGACUGCCAGGAAGAUAAAUUCUCUUCUCCGGGUCUGAAGAACAGAUGUCAAAGAG